rnacentral:rRNA from 1 species
CGAGAGGACCGGGAUGGACGCACCGCUGGUGUACCAGUUGUCUUGCCAAAGGCAUAGCUGGGUAGCUACGUGCGGACGGGAUAAGUGCUGAAAGCAUCUAAGCAUGAAGCCCCCCUCAAGAUGAGAUUUCCCAUGGCGCAAGCUAGUAAGAUCCCUGAAAGAUGAUCAGGUUGAUAGGUCAGAGGUGGAAGCGUGGCGACAUGUGGAGCUGACUGAUACUAAUAGAUCGAGGACUUAACCAAC